rnacentral:rRNA from 1 species
ACAUGCAAGUCGAACGAGAAGCUUGGAUUAUCUAAGGUGGAGAGUGGCGCACGGGUGAGUAACACAUGGCUGACCUGCCCCUCAGAGGGGGACAACCGGUGGAAACGCCGGCUAAUACCCCAUGCUUGCGUCCGGGUUAGAGGCCGGAUGCAGAAAGGCCGAUGCGCUGAGGGAGUGGGGCUGUGGACCAUCAGCUAGUUGGUAGGGUAACGGCCUACCAAGGCGAGGACGGAUAGGGGGCCUGAGAGGGUGACCCCCCACACGGGCACUGAGACACGGGCCCGACUCCUACGGGAGGCAGCAGUAAGGGAUAUUGCGACAAUGGGCGAAAGCCUGACGCAGCAACGCCGCGUGGAGGAUGAAGGCCUUCGGGUUGUAAACUCCUUUUCUGUGGGAAGAGGAAGGACGGUACCACAGGAAGAAGUCUCGGCUAACUACGUGCCAGCAGCCGCGGUAAAACGUAGGAGGCGAGCGUUAUCCGGAUUUACUGGGUGUAAAGCGCGUGCAGGCGGUCUGGUAAGUCGAGCGUGAAAGCUCCCGGCUCAACCGGGAGAGGACGUGCGAAACUGCGAGGCUAGAGACAGGUAGAGGCCGUACGGAAUUCCGGGUGUAGUGGUGAAAUGCGUAGAUAUCCGGAGGAACACCAGUGGCGAAGUGCGGUACGCUGGGCCUGGUCUGACGCUAAGACGCGAAAGCCUGGGGAGCGAACGGGAUUAGAAACCCCGGUAGUCCAUGCCGUUAACGAUUGCUAACUAGGUGUUGCGGGUAAAAGACCGGCAGUGCCGGAGUUAACGCGAUAAGUUAGCCACCUGGGGACUACGGUCGCAAGGAUAAAACUCAAAGGAAUUGACGGGGACCCGCACGAGCAGCGGAGCGUGUGGUCUAAUUCGAGGCUACACGAAGAACCUUACCUGGGCUGGACAUGACGGUGGUAGGGAACCGAAAGGGGACCGACCUUCGGGAGCCGCCACAGGUGCUGCAUGGCUGUCGUCAGCUCGUGUCGUGAGAUGUUCGCUUAAGUCCGGUAACGAGCGCAACCCUCAUCGCUAGUUACAAGUGUCUAGCGAGACUGCCCGUU